AAGUCGUAACAAGGUUUCCGUAGGUGAACCUGCGGAAGGAUCAUCAUUGAAUCUUUGAAUGAAGCAUCCCUGUGCACUGUUGGCGCACCUUUUAUAGGUGCGCACAUUAUAUUCAACCCGCUUGAUUUGAAUCUGCUCUUUACGAAAAAGCACACAACUUUUAACAACGGAUCUCUUGGUUCUC
rnacentral:misc_RNA from 1 species